rnacentral:rRNA from 1 species
UACGUAGGGUGCAAGCGUUGUCCGGAAUUAUUGGGCGUAAAGAGCUCGUAGGCGGUUUGUCGCGUCUGCUGUGAAAACCCGAGGCUCAACCUCGGGCCUGCAGUGGGUACGGGCAGACUAGAGUGCGGUAGGGGAGAAUGGAAUUCCUGGUGUAGCGGUGGAAUGCGCAGAUAUCAGGAGGAACACCGAUGGCGAAGGCAGUUCUCUGGGACGGUACUGACGCUGAGACGCGAAAGCGUGGGGAGCGAACAGG